ACACUGCUCUUGGGGCUACCACGGAGCCUGAGGUAGGCAGAAGAAACAACUUGAAAGAGUGGUUUUACGAAGCCCGGUACCCACAAAGAACAUGUCUUUUAUUCUCAAGAGAGACGGUCUUUUCUCCUAAUUUAGCUGUUACCAGUCAAGCAAGACAAGCAUCCGCCCAAGCACUGGCCACAGUGCAGGUAGACAAAGGGCCAAGCCAACGUCACUGCGCGAGGAAAGGCACCGAGAGGGAGGAGUAAACAGGAGAGAAGACACUUGCACCCAUCCUUUGGAUUGUGUCAGCAGCAAAGAUUCUUCCAGAUAGGCUUUCUGAAGAUUCUAGGUCAGCUGUUCCCAGAGACAUUCAAAACCCUUCAAGACACUCGGAAGAGUGACCAACUGCAGCAUGUGAAGGAAAAAAAAAAAGAGAGAAAGAGAGAGAGAGAGAGA